rnacentral:rRNA from 1 species
CGUAGGGGGCAAGCGUUGUCCGGAUUUACUGGGCGUAAAGAGCGCGUAGGCGGAGAUCUAAGCGUGGCCUGAAAGCCCCCGGCUCAACCGGGGAGUGCGGCUGCGAACUGGGUUUCUUGAGGACGAUAGAGGAGAGUGGAAUUCCUGGUGUAGCGGUGAAAUGCGUAGAUAUCAGGAGGGACACCCGAGGCGAAGGCGGCUCUCUGGGUCGUACCUGACGCUGAGGCGCGAAAGCGUGGGGAGCGAACGGGAUUAGAUACCCCGGUAGUCCACGCCGUAAACGAUGGUCACUAGGUGUGUGUGGUAUCGACCCCGCACGUGCCGCAGCUAACGCAAUAAGUGACCCGCCUGGGGAGUACGGCCGCAAGGUUG